GGAAUCUUCCACAAUGGGCGCAAGCCUGAUGGAGCAACACCGCGUGAGUGAAGAAGGGUUUCGGCUCGUAAAGCUCUGUUGUUGGAGAAGAACGUUCGUGAGAGUAACUGUUCACGCAGUGACGGUAUCCAACCAGAAAGUCAACGAUCACCACGUCCAAGCACCCGCGGUAAUACGUAGGUGGCAAGCGUUAUCCGGAUUUAUUGGGCGUAAAGCGAGCGCAGGCGGUUGCUUAGGUCUGAUGUGAAAGCCUUCGGCUUAACCGAAGAAGUGCAUCGGAAACCGGGCAACUUGAGUGCAGAAGAGGACAGUGGAACUCCAUGUGUAGCGGUGGAAUGCGUAGAUAUAUGGAAGAACACCAGUGGCGAAGGCGGCUGUCUGGUCUGCAACUGACGCUGAGGCUCGAAAGCAUGGGUAGCGAACAGG
rnacentral:rRNA from 1 species